GACUUCGUGGCCUAAUGGAUAAGGCACUGGUCUAAGAAACCAGAGAUUCUGAGUUCGAUCCCCAGUGGAGUCG
rnacentral:tRNA from 1 species